rnacentral:tRNA from 1 species
GGUGUAAUGGCUCAGUGGUUAGAGCUCAGUGGUAACCGAAAGGUUGCGGGAUCGAAUCCCGCUAGAGGCU